GCCCUUAGCUCAGCGGUUAGAGCAGCGGACUCAUAAUCCGUUGGUCGUAGGUUCAAAUCCUACAGGGC
rnacentral:tRNA from 1 species